rnacentral:rRNA from 1 species
AUUGAACGCUGGCGGCAUGCUUUACACAUGCAAGUCGAACGGUAACAGGUUAAGCUGACGAGUGGCGAACGGGUGAGUAAUGCAUCGGAACGUGCCCGGUCGUGGGGGAUAACGCAGCGAAAGCUGCGCUAAUACCGCAUACGAUCUGAGGAUGAAAGCGGGGGACCGUAAGGCCUCGCGCGAUCGGAGCGGCCGAUGUCAGAUUAGGUAGUUGGUGGGGUAAAGGCUCACCAAGCCGACGAUCUGUAGCUGGUCUGAGAGGACGACCAGCCACACUGGGACUGAGACACGGCCCAGACUCCUACGGGAGGCAGCAGUGGGGAAUUUUGGACAAUGGGCGAAAGCCUGAUCCAGCAAUGCCGCGUGCAGGAAGAAGGCCUUCGGGUUGUAAACUGCUUUUGUACGGAGCGAAAAGGCCCUCUCUAAUACAGGGGGCUCAUGACGGUACCGUAAGAAUAAGCACCGGCUAACUACGUGCCAGCCGCCGCGGUAACAC